rnacentral:rRNA from 1 species
AGGCAGCAGUGGGGAAUCUUGCGCAAUGGACGAAAGUCUGACGCAGCCACGCCGCGUGAGUGAAGAAGGCCUUCGGGUUGUAAAGCUCUGUCACCUGGGACGAAAACACUGACGGUUAAUAGCCGUCGGAAUUGACGGUACCAGGGGAGGAAGUACCGGCUAACUUCGUGCCAGCAGCCGCGGUAAUACGAAGGGUGCAAGCGUUGCUCGGAAUUAUUGGGCGUAAAGGGUUGGUAGGUGGUCUUGUUUGUCUAAGGUGAAAUCCCAUCGCUCAACGGUGGAACGGCCAUUGAUACUGCCUGGCUUGAAUUACAAGGAAGUAACUAGAAUAUGUAGUGUAGCGGUGAAAUGCUUAGAGAUUACAUGGAAUACCAAUUGCGAAGGCAGGUUACUACUUGUGGAUUGACGCUGAUGGACGAAAGCGUGGGUAGCGAACAGGAUUAGAUACCCUGGUAGUCCACGCCGUAAACGAUGGAUACUAGCUGUUGGGAGCGAUCUCAGUGGCUAAGCGAAAGUGAUAAGUAUCCCACCUGGGGAGUACGUUCGCAAGAAUGAAACUCAAAAGAAUUGACGG